rnacentral:ncRNA from 1 species
UUGACUGAUAAAAAGAGCCCGCAAUUUUGAAUGAUGAAAAGUGCCCGUGUAUUUCCUAGACGGAGAGGUUCGGGUAAACCGCUGAACCACUUUGAUGCUUGGGAUUGUGAACUGAAACUGUUCACAUGAACUUGGAAUUCCCAGUAAAUGUGAGUCAUUAACUUACAUUGAUUACGUCCCUGCUCUUUGUACA